GACAGCGGCUCACAACCGUCUUGGACAACUUUCAUUAACGCUCUGGCCUCAAAUCAGGCAGGACUACCCGCUGNACUUAAGCNUNUCAAUAAGCGGAGGAAAAGAAACUAACAAGGAUUCCCCUAGUAACGGCGAGUGAAGCGGGAAGAGCUCAAAUUUGAAAUCUGGCGGUCUACGGCCGUCCGAGUUGUAGCCUAGAGAGGUGUUUUCCGUGUCGGACCGUGUACAAGUCCCCUUGGGAUAGGGCGUCAUAGAGGGUGAGAAUCCCGUUCAUGACACGGACUGCCGAUGCUUUGUGAUGCGCCUUCAAAGAGUCGAGUUGUUUGGGAAUGCAGCUCAAAACGGGUGGUAAAUUCCAUCUAAAGCUAAAUACAGGCGAGAGACCGAUAGCGAACAAGUACCGUGAGGGAAAGAUGAAAAGCACUUUGGAAAGAGAGUUAAAAAGUACGUGAAAUUGUUGAAAGGGAAACGCUUGGAGUCAGUCGCGUCGACAGAGACUCAGCCUUGCUUUUGCUUGGUGCACUUCUCGGUUGAUGGGCCAGCAUCAAUUUUGACCGCCGGAGAAGGGCUGGGGGAAGGUGGCACCUUUCGGUGUGUUAUAGCCCCCUGUCGUACACGGUGGUCGGGAUUGAGGUUCGCAGCACGCCUUUAUGGUCGGGGUUCGCCCACGCCACGUGCUUAGGAUGCUGGCGUAAUGGCUUUAAACGACC
rnacentral:rRNA from 1 species